rnacentral:misc_RNA from 1 species
UCUUCGUUGGUGAACCAGCGGAGGGAUCAUUACCGAGUUUACAACUCCCAAACCCAAUGUGAACCAUACCAAACUGUUGCCUCGGCGGGGUCACGCCCCGGGUGCGUCGCAGCCCCGGAACCAGGCGCCCGCCGGAGGGACCAACCAAACUCUUUCUGUAGUCCCCUCGCGGACGUUAUUUUUACAGCUCUGAGCAAAAAUUCAAAAUGAAUCAAAACUUUCAACAACGGAUCUCUUGGUUCUG